GUUUAUUGAUGGUUUUGAGAACUGCAAGGCCUGCCUGCUAUGGAUGAUAUCGUAUUUAGAGUUCCAAUUUUUCCAGUCCGAAAAUAGCGAUGAGGAGGCUUCCUUGUCGAACGAGGACUGAUCUUCUUGUUCCUUGAGCUGGAGAUUGAGAAGAGCAUCCACUAUCUGAUUGUUGCCAUCAUCUACGAUGAUGAGAGCUUCGAACAGGGUCUGC
rnacentral:lncRNA from 1 species